AAAAAGAACAGGUCUUGCAGGGACAGGGUUGGACAGCUACAUGGAAAAAGUUAUCUGGAGCCCUGCUGCCGCAGGAGGAAUGCAGAAAGGCCAUGUGCUCCUCGACCGCCCGCCCGCCCGCCUGCCCGCCCGAAGCACUGGCCUUCCCUCAUCAAAGUCUGAGGUUGACUGUGAGGUUUAUGAACAUUCCCUCUAGAAGCUUGAGGAUUCUUUCUGUGGACUGCAGACUCCCAGAAGAGGCAUUUCAAGGGACAGGAGGGUUCCAAACUCCAAGCCUUCCUCAGAACAGUGUCAUCUCAGAGAUGCAUUUAUGAAAUAAGGUCUGAGGAAGGGGUGGGCAUGUGACGGGAAGAUAACCUCUUAUUCACAACCGAAGCUGCUUGUAGCUAAAAUGACCACGUUUCUUAUUAAGUUUCAAAGAUGCUAAAGAAGAAAAGGAGGAGGAAGAGGAGGAGAAGGUUUUGUGUUAGCAGGAAUCUCCAUCCCUGAGACUGGAUGAACUCCUUGGGGCUAUGUGCUUAGCUGAGGGUUCACCUCUGUGAGCUCUGACCUCUACCAAGCGGCAGAACUCAAAAACCGAACGGAGACGCCCUGAGUUAUCUGCACUGUUUCAGGAGGGAUGACUGUGGACCAAUACAUAAAUGGCAGUUGGCUUUAGAGUAUACAUUCGGCCCAGUGAUUUAUCCAAGACAACAGGCGAACAGCUUGCUAUGUACACAGCAGUUUACCUGUCCAGACUUGCUUCAGGACCCUGCUCUGUGCAGUCUACCAGCCCUAAGGUGUUAGGUUACAAAGUUGCCCAAUUUCGUCAGUUCCACCUUGAGAGACCUGCCUGGCAUCCCAUGCCCAUGCUGAAGCCAUGUAAAUAACCCUUUCCCUUCGCCCCUUCUCAGACCGCUGUCUCUCCCCGCGAUUUGGCUUUGCAGCACCAAGUGUCUGGUGAUGUUUAAGGGAGCUGCACACUGGGCAUUUUCAGUCUUACUUUCCUGCUGUGGAAUCAGGCCCCAAGAGACCAUCUCAUACUCAAUAGACUGGCAGGACCAUACUGGAAUCUACAUGUCUGUUCUCCAGGGCUGCCUUACCGCACAAGCUGAAACUUCCUUGUCUGCAACCAGAGAGGACUGCAUCGGCUCCUUGAGUCUUAAAACGCUGCCUUGCUCAAACUCUGCUAAACAAAACAAAACAAAACAAAAAAAACAACAACAAAACAAAUGGAGAGCUGGGUGUGGUAGCAUGUUCCUGUAAUUUCAGAUCUUGGAAGGAUUAGGAGUUCAAGGCCGAGCCUCCGUUCCAUAGCCAGUUAGAAAGGUGGAGGCCAGAACAGGCUGCACGAGACCCUGUCUCAUAAGAGAGACAAAAUAAGACAAAACAAAUAAAUAACAAUUAAAAAACAAGCUUAACCGUGGCUCAACCCAU
rnacentral:lncRNA from 1 species